rnacentral:tRNA from 1 species
GGCGAUAUAGUUUAAGGGUAAAAUAGUUAUUUCAUGUGUAAUAAGAUAAGGGUUCAAAUCCCUUUUUCGCUU